CAGCAGCCGCGGGAAUACGUAGGUCCCGAGCGUUGUCCGGAUUUAUUGGGCGUAAAGCGAGCGCAGGCGGUUAGAUAAGUCUGAAGUUAAAGGCUGUGGCUUAACCAUAGUACGCUUUGGAAACUGUUUAACUUGAGUGCAAGAGGGGAGAGUGGAAUUCCAUGUGUAGCGGUGAAAUGCGUAGAUAUAUGGAGGAACACCGGUGGCGAAAGCGGCUCUCUGGCUUGUAACCGACGCUGAGGCUCGAAAGCGUGGGGAGCAAACAGGAUUAGAUACCCGUGUAGUCCCUGUCUCUUAUACA
rnacentral:rRNA from 1 species